AUGAUCUGGUCCUGCUCGUUUCACUCAGCAUCCAUGCAUUCACUGGGCACUUUCCUUCAAGUUUCAGAGCUGGUCAUCUUGAAUGAGGGACAGGGGGAACAUCAGGUAAGAGACUUUUCCCCUAAGACUGGGGCUUAUUUUCUAGCACUGACCAUUUUUCCUCAAAUUUCAAAGUUGAAUAUGUUGAAUGAGGGACAGUGGGAAAACCAGGUAAGAGACGUUUUUAUUUUUUAUUAAGACUGGGGCUUAUUUUCUAGAACUGGCCACUUCUCCUUGUUUCAAACCUGGUCAUCUUGAAUGAGGGACAGUGGGAAAACCAAGUAAGACUUUUUUCCCCCUAAGACUGGGCUUAUUUUCUAGCACUGGCCACUUUUCCUCAAGUUUCAGAGCUGGUCAUCUUGAAUGAGGGACAAUGGCAGAACCAGGUAAGAGACUUUUUUUUUCACAGAGUACCUAGAAGAGUUCUAUUUUUCCCGGAUGGUUUUUCCUGCUUGUUUGUAUUUUCUUGGGCAGAGGGUCUCCAUAAUGUCUCCUUUAAGCUGCCCAGUGUUUGGUACAGAAGACUCUGCAGGAUGGGGCAGUAAGGACUGAUCCUCGCCCAUGUGUCUCAGUCCUUCCUUCUCCUCUUGGGCAUGGCUAUGUUCAAAGUUGGGCCGCAGCGAGCAGGAUGCUCUUCGGGUCCUCCUUCCUUUUUUUCUUAGUACCACGGCCCUCACACUAUUGCUCCAGGUGUCCGGAUGUAGCUGGAACUAGAGUCCGGUCUCCUAAAGGGAAUGGAGGAGAAGGGGAGCUACAGAGCCUGGGGAGCUACAGAGCCUGGGAAGCAUGAAAUUCUAAAUCCCCUUAAAGGCCUGUAUUUAUCUUAAAAAAUUAGAGUGGAGAAAGAGGCAUUAAGCCAGAGAAAUCUUUCCAGAGUCCAAAGCAGCCCAAUUACUAAGGGAAAAAGAGGAUUUUCUAGAUUCAAAUGGUCUCCCUAAUUAUUUCUCAUUUUAUCCUGCAGGUGUAGACUCGGCCAGCAGCCCUGGUUUGAGAAGCGGGAACCAGCUGUGUUCUCUAUGGGUCGCAGGGAGAACCGGUCGUCUGGUGUCCGUGGCCCCCCUGGCCACGCUUGCCUCUGGGUGCCUUCCCAGGGCGGUCACUAUCAUCGGCAGACACUGUGGGGCUCGGUUUCAGAGUUCAGGGUCCUAAUCCUCGGGGACAUUUGUUUGUAAGCCUGCUGCAAGCUGAGCAGGAGGAAUGCCCUGGCUGAAGCCACCCUCCCUGCGGAGACUGAGAGAUAGUUGUUGUAGUGGACAAUGGAGCAUCCUGCCCCUCUGUCUAAGAGCCAGACCUGUGGUGGAAGAUAAGCCAUGGGUGUUUUGUUUAAUUGAAUUGGGGAGAGAGGAAAGAAACAAAAGAUGUGAGGUGAAGGGAGAACUCGGGAUGGUGGUAAAACAGCCAUUCAGGAUAAAAAAAAAUUAUUUUGCAGGGGUGUGACAUAAUUGAAAAUUUGAAUUAUUGAAGAUCUUGCUUAUUAUCUAUUUCUUCCUCUCCUGAGUCUGAAUGCCCUUGCUUCCUAUCUUGUUUUCUUCAUGCUUUACACAUCUAUUCUAUUAUUUCUUACUAAUUCUGAUACUCUCCUUCAUGCCAGGGAAGGCGCUUUACUCAGACAUCAAGGAGAAAGAAAUAAUCCCUCACACUCCACCUCCUCCUCCCAGGUCCUGUUUUUGAAUCAUCCAAGAAAACUGCAACUUCGGCCAGAGCCCCAACCUACAGGAACAGAGAGAACUGACCUACAGGAUAUGGGAGAAGGGAAGCAAGCAAGUCUUACAGUCUUCCCCUUCAAGACAAAUAUAUGUACAAGACAAGCCUCAUACAUGUUUAUAUUUAUGUUUGUGUAUAUAUAUGUAUAAGUGAUAGAUGCUUAUAUAAAGUUUUACAUAUGUCCCUGUGUGAAAUACAAAGAUUUUGCUUUAUAUAAAUGCUAUAAACAAUAAAAUUGUUACAUAUA